rnacentral:rRNA from 1 species
UACGAAGGGGGCUAGCGUUGCUCGGAAUUACUGGGCGUAAAGGGAGCGUAGGCGGACAGUUUAGUCAGAGGUGAAAGCCUAGGGCUCAACCUUGGAAUUGCCUUUGAUACUGACUGUCUUGAGUAUGGGAGAGGUUAGCGGAACUCCGAGUGUAGAGGUGAAAUUCGUAGAUAUUCGGAAGAACACCAGUGGCGAAGGCUGCUAACUGGCCCAUUACUGACGCUCAUGCACGAAAGCGUGGGGAGCAAACAGG